UGAAACUAUUUUUAAAAUUUUUAUUUUAAAAUUUUUAAUAUUUAUUUUUUAUUUUAUAAAAUUUUAAACCUCAAUCCCAAAUUUCCACUCCUUAAAUCUAAACCCUAAGAUUUGGAUUAGUUAACUCUAUGAGUGUAAAUGUAUAUUUACCUCUUCAAUAAAAUAUUUUGGUCAUUUUCUUUCUUGUGGUCUAUUUUUGUGAACAAAAUUUUUUUAUUGCUAUUUUAGAGUGUUUCUCAAGUAAAUUUCAGUAACCACAAAAUUUCAUUUCCAAGAUAAUGUUUACGUUAAUGGGUUAAUUUAUCAAAUGUUAACAAUAUGUGUAGUAUACGAAAAUAUAACAUUUGAAAUUGAAACGUAAAUUUGGAGCAAUUAGAUGAAAAUGAUCAUAGGACACUUGUGCCAAUAAUUCUUGUCAUUGUUCCAACAGUAAAACCCAUCAUCUUUUGCAACAACGAAACGCACCGCAGAAUCAGUGUCCGAAUCGUACAAACGGUACAUCCUCAAAGAGGGCACGAAUUGUGCUUCACCCCAAAACGUUCCUUCGCAAGACGUCCGCUGCGACACUCUAGGUCUCGCCGGUUUAUCGUUUUUUUCAGCGGUGGGUGGGAUAUCAUCAGUCGCAUUUUUUCCGCUAGUGGUUGGGAUCUUUAUCAACGAGACUUGACCCAAAGGUAUGGGUUUAGACAUCCUAGGAAUUGAGCCCUGGCACGUCACGAAGACGGGAACAUUAGCACGUCUCUGCAUCUGGUUGGAUACGAUAAGAGUGGCGGCACGUGCGGAUCCAGAGCUAACAAAGAGCACUAGGGUCAUGAUCGAUACCAUUAUAAGAGUGUCCAUGAGUUUUUAUUAUGUGGAAAAGAUGUGUUAUAGAAUGUAAAUAUAUAUCUUCUUUGGAAGUUUAUGUGUCUCUAUUUAUAUUAUCUGGCUUCAGUUUCUCAAAUUUUGAGCAUUAACAACAAUCACUACGUACGUUUAAGAAUUGAAAGGUGAUUAAUAAGUGAUUACGGUUACCAUUAGAAUUAAGAGACUCUAACAUUUAUUAGAGACAAUCUCGGUUUGGUACCUGUUCUGUGAUUGUUGCAAUUAGAGAGAGAUAAAAAAGAUUUCAGUGAUGUCAUCAUUAGUUUAUUUUUAUUUUUUGGAAAGAUGUGCUGCGACAUUUGGUGUGUAAUAUGUAUAAUGACAAAUCAAACCCAUUUUUUUAUUAUCAAAUACAAAUCAAACCUUUAUUCUUAAUAAGAAUGACCGACUGCAUAGUGUUAAGUGUGAAUAAAACGGUGUUUCACACAGCAUGUUCAAUAUAUACGAUUAAUCAACAGAAAAGCGAAGAGUAUUAUAGAGAAUAUGAUACUCUGUGACUUGACUGAAGGAAAAGGGGACUAUGGUGAGUGGUGAGGCAUGUCACGUCACCGUUGUCUAAUCCAUUUUCAGUUAACCAAAGGACCGUAAACAAAUAUUGGCCUUUUAUUAUGAAAUAUGGACCGUUUCACAUAUCUUCAGAAACCACCAUUGGCCCCUAUUGUUUUCUAUCGCCUCCCAAUUCACUCGGAGUUACUCUCCCCUUUCACCUCCUCCCUAAUAUAGGCGUCCCACUUUCAUGAUUCAUAAAGCUCCAUCAUUUCAUGAUUCAGUGGAGAGUAUGAGUGCUUGCAAGAUAUUUGAUCAAAAUGGUGCAUGGCUACGGAGAAGUAAGGGUUUUUGGUGUCGAGACAUUGAUCUAAAAAUUAUGUGAACCGAAAAGGGUACUUUCCACUUUCAAAACUGUAUUUGUUGUGUGUUACUUCGAAAUUUAGGAGAAACAAAGUCGUUAUUUCUCGAUCAUUUCUACGCUGGCUGGAAAGGAGUCUUCUCAGAUUUCAAGGAAGAGAAAAAGUCUAUUAGAUAGUGAAGGUAUAUGUGUGU